rnacentral:lncRNA from 10 species
GUCUGUUGAUCUGCGCGUACAGAGGCUCUGGCUCCUGUGGAUAAAGGAACAAAAUUUGUCCACGUCUCUGCCCUGCUUCAAAUCCUUCAGAGGCUCCCCAUCACCCACAGGGAUGAUCUUUCUGAAAUGGAUUUGGCCAUGCCAGUCUCCUGCCUGAAACAGCCCUCCUGGCUCCUUGUCACUCAAAGGAAAAGGCAAACUCCUCAAGACUGCACAUAAUGCCCACCUUCCCAACCAGCCUCUCCUACUGCCACUCUCUCUCCUACACCCUACCUUCCAAACCCUACUUGGGGUUCACCCUCACAUGCUGGAGUUUUCCCAUCUCUGAGACUUCAUUCAGGCAGUUCCUUCUGGCUUCGGAGGCUUCUUUGUUCCUAAAGUUCAUACUUUAAGACCUAGCUGAAAUAUCAAGGCUUCCUGGACUCUGCAGGUGACACGAGCCACUGUGCUCCUGGAUGCUUCAGAACCUGUGCAGAUCUCUGUCUUCACUCCUACUAUGGCAUCUCCUAGCAUGUUCUACACUGAGCUCCACUGGGCCUUGCAUGUCAGUAUCCCGAAUUCUGAAUGAAGCUUGGAACAUGGGAGGUGCAUCCACUAACAACAUGAAGAAUGAAGACAUGUAUUGACUACCUUUGACAAAAGUAUGUCAAAAGCAAUACAUCUUACUAGUGGAGCGAAGACACUGCAUGCUGACAAAGGUGAUCUCAGAUGUGAGGUCGAUGGUGCGCCAUGCAAUCAGCUUGCUGAGUGAGCCUACUUAUGCCCCAUCCCGGGGGCCUAGGGUAAGAAAAGUGCCAAGCGAAGCUGAGGAUCAGACUAAAGCUGGAAGGUGUCAAGGCACAGGCUGAGUCAUCAGAACACCUUCCCUGAAUUGUGUCAAACAAGUGUACAUGUGCUCAAGUGUAUCUGGAUUCUGAUUUGGCUGCACAGUCACUGUUUUCCAGAUGUUUGCAGAAGAAAUAUGAGCUGGAGGAGACUCACUGAAAGCUGGAACUAGAAGGAUGCACACUGCUCAUCCAAGCCAAUUCACUUAUUUUACCAAUGAUAAAACUGAGUCUCAGAGAAGUCAUACGCUUGCCCAAAGACACAGCUUGUGGUGGAGGAGUCAACACCAGAACUCUGGUCCAGGACUGCAAAAAAACACUUAACAUGUGCUAAUAAUGAGGAUAAAAGAUACUUCAAAUUCUGGGAGUUCUAUAAUGUUUGAGCACAUAUACCAUUGAAUCCUUUUAAUAACCCAUCGCUUACACAGAUGAGGAAACCAAGGCUCAUAGAAAUAAAGUGCUUUGCCAAAAGGCACAAAACUGGUCAGUAAUAAAUCUGAUCUCCAGGUUCCCAGUCCAGAACUUUCUGCAGCACUAUCUUUUUGUUCCCUUUAACUACCAGAAGCUUUAACCCAAAAUGAGGCUUCAACUAUAAAAGCUAUUUAAGACCUUAUGGCUGCGUAUCUCUGCCCUAAGUUUUCUCUUGAUCCUUAUUUUAUAUUCUAAUGUUUAAAACUUGUUCCCCAAAUUUUUAAAGUUUGCAUUCAUUUUAUUUCAAUAAGCCACGCCAAAAUCUGUGUGUCAUAAGCUAUCUAUACGUAAAUAAAUGAACGAAUGAAUGAGCAAACAAACAAAAUCUUAAGAGGCAGAGUAACAUGGUGGAAAAAUACCAGGCUUACAUUCAAUUCAAUACCACUUUGUCUAUUGUCUUCAUCUUUGAGCCUCACUUUCAUUAUCUGUCAAACAGGUCUAACAAAAUUUAUCAUUAAGCAUUAUUAUAAGUCUAAAAAUAAACAUGGAACAUAUGAAGAAGGUUUGUAUGUUAUCAGUGGUAUCUAAAUUGGCAGCUCAUAGUAGUAUUACUAGUAAUAAUAAUAUAAACAAAGAAGCCUGAUUAAUGCAAGUGAGAUGAGUUAUUUGACUCCAGAAACCCCGCCUCCAGACAUGAGUUACGGCUCUCAUUGGGUUUUAUG